GAUGAACGCUGACAGAAUGCUUAACACAUGCAAGUCAACUUGAACUUCGGUUUGGGUGGCGGACGGGUGAGUAACGCGUAAAGAACUUGCCUCACAGAUAGGGACAACAUUUGGAAACGAAUGCUAAUACCUGAUAUUAUGAUUUUAGGGCAUCCUAGAAUUAUGAAAGCUAUAUGCACUGUGAGAGAGCUUUGCGUCCCAUUAGCUAGUUGGAGAGGUAACGGCUCACCAAGGCGAUGAUGGGUAGCCGGCCUGAGAGGGUGAUCGGCCACAAGGGGACUGAGACACGGCCCUUACUCCUACGGGAGGCAGCAGUGGGGAAUAUUGGACAAUGGACCAAGAGUCUGAUCCAGCAAUUCUGUGUGCACGAUGAAGUUUUUCGGAAUGUAAAGUGCUUUCAGUUGGGUAGAAAAAAAUGACGGUACCAACAGAAGAAGUGACGGCUAAAUACGUGCCAGCAGCCGCGGUAAUACGUAUGUCACAAGCGUUAUCCGGAUUUAUUGGGCGUAAAGCGCGUCUAGGUGGUUAUGUAAGUCUGAUGUGAAAAUGCAGGGCUCAACUCUGUAUUGCGUUGGAAACUGUGUAACUAGAGUACUGGAGAGGUAAGCGGAACUACAAGUGUAGAGGUGAAAUUCGUAGAUAUUUGUAGGAAUGCCGAUGGGGAAGCCAGCUUACUGGACAGAUACUGACGCUGAAGCGCGAAAGCGUGGGUAGCAAACAGG
rnacentral:rRNA from 1 species